AGGGAGGAAGUGGAGAGAACUGGGAGAGUUGAGACCCUCCUUCUGAGCGUUAAGCUGCAUGUAGAUAAUAUCUGCAGGUGUGGCACAAUUGAAAAGGCAGUGGCUUUCAGGCUAGUCACUGCACGGACUAGUAAGGCAGCUCUCUUGCUCCCAGCACCGUGCAUCUGAUUCUCCGUUCUCAGGGUGAGUAGCCCCUCCAGUUCUCAACAUACACAUGUUGGUAAUUUCACUGUGUGUGUGUGUGUGUGUGUGUGUGUGUGUGUGUGUGUGUA
rnacentral:lncRNA from 1 species